rnacentral:rRNA from 1 species
GACAGAGGGUGCAAACGUUGUUCGGAAUUACUGGGCGUAAAGCGCGUGUAGGCUGCUUCGCAAGUCGGGUGUGAAAGCCCGGAGCUCAACUCCGGAACUGCCAUUGAAACUGUGAGACUUGAGGACGAGAGAGGUGAGUGGAAUUCCCAGUGUAGAGGUGAAAUUCGUAGAUAUUGGGAAGAACACCGGUGGCGAAGGCGGCUCACUGGCUCGUUUCUGACGCUCAGGCGCGACAGCGUGGGGAUCAAACAGG